rnacentral:rRNA from 1 species
AUAAGUAGGGUGCGAGCGUUGUCCGGAAUUACUGGGCGUAAAGAGCUCGUAGGUGGUUUGUCGCGUCGUCUGUGAAAUUCCGGGGCUUAACUCCGGGCGUGCAGGCGAUACGGGCGUACCUUGAGUACUGUAGGGGAGACUGGAAUUCCUGGUGUAGCGGUGAAAUGCGCCGAUAUCAGGAGGAACACCGGUGGCUAAGGCGGGUCUCGCGGCAGUACGUGCAUUGUAUGAGUUAUAUCAUGUGUAGCAAACUCGCUUAGUCCCCUGGUCAGUCCCUGCCGUACCCGGGGGUCUCGAGUCGGAGUGGUUGUCCACGAUUGGUGUGCUGUAGGUAACGUAAUAACGGCCCCGCCUGGGCAGUACGGCCUCAAGGCUGAAUCUCAAAUUCAUUGACCGGG